rnacentral:rRNA from 1 species
UUGGGGACGCGGAGGGACAUUACCGAGUUUACAACUCCCAAACCCAAUGUGAACGUUACCAAACUGUUGCCUCGGCGGGGUCACGCCCCGGGUGCGUAAAAGCCCCGGAACCAGGCGCCCGCCGGAGGAACCAACCAAACUCUUUCUGUAGUCCCCUCGCGGACGUAUUUCUUACAGCUCUGAGCAAAAAUUCAAAAUGAAUCAAAACUUUCAACAACGGAUCUCUUGGUUCUGGCAUCGAUGAAGAACGCAGCGAAAUGCGAUAAGUAAUGUGAAUUGCAGAAUUCAGUGAAUCAUCGAAUCUUUGAACGCACAUUGCGCCCGCCAGUAUUCUGGCGGGCAUGCCUGUCCGAGCGUCAUUUCAACCCUCGAACCCCUCCGGGGGAUCGGCGUUGGGGAUCGGGACCCCUCACCGGGUGCCGGCCCUGAAAUACAGUGGCGGUCUCGCCGCAGCCUCUCCUGCGCAGUAGUUUGCACAACUCGCACCGGGAGCGCGGCGCGUCCACGUCCGUAAAACACCCAACUUCUGAAAUGUUGACCUCGGAUCAGGUAGGAAUACCCGCUGAACUUAAGCAUAUCAAAGGGGGGGAAAAAGAA